GUUCAGCUGACAAGUCCAAAAACAGGACGAAACGCGCAUCCUCAAU
rnacentral:hammerhead_ribozyme from 1 species